GGAGCUUGCUCCUUUGACGUUAGCGGCGGACGGGUGAGUAACACGUGGGUAACCUACCUAUAAGACUGGAAUAACUCCGGGAAACCGGGGCUAAUGCCGGAUAACAUGUUGAACCGCAUGGUUCUACAGUGAAAGACGGUCUUGCUGUCACUUAUAGAUGGACCCGCGCCGUAUUAGCUAGUUGGUGGGGUAACGGCCUACCAAGGCGACGAUACGUAGCCGACCUGAGAGGGUGAUCGGCCACACUGGAACUGAGACACGGUCCAGACUCCUACGGGAGGCAGCAGUAGGGAAUCUUCCGCAAUGGGCGAAAGCCUGACGGAGCAACGCCGCGUGAGUGAUGAAGGUCUUCGGAUCGUAAAGCUCUGUUGUUAGGGAAGAACAAAUGUGUAAGUAACUGUGCACAUCUUGACGGACCUAACAGAAAGCCACGGCUAACUCCGUGCAGCAGCCGCGGUAUUCCUAGGUGGGAAGCGUUAUCCGGAAUUUUUGGGCGUAAAGCGC
rnacentral:rRNA from 1 species